AACCCCGGGAGGGGAGUGAAAGAGAACCUGAAACCUUAUGUUUACAAACAGUCGAAGUUUUUCGGAACGACGGCGUACUUUUUGUAGAACGGUCCGGCGAGUUGCAGUGACAUGCGAGGUUAAGGAGUACAGCUCCGGAGCCGAAGGGAAACCAAGUCUUAACUGGGCGUCUAGUAUGUUAAUGCAGACCCGAAACCGGGUGACCUAUCCAUGGGCAGGUUGAAGUUACCGUAAAAGGUAAUGGAGGACCGAACUCACAUCUGUUGAAAAAGGUGGAGAUGACCUGUGGAUAGCGGAGAAAUUCCAAUCGAACUCGGAGAUAGCUGGUUCUCCUCGAAAUAGCUUUAGGGCUAGCCUUGAGGUAAAGUCUAAUGGAGGUAAAGCACUGAUUGGACGCGGGUCCCCAAAAGGAUACCAACUUCUAUCAAACUCAGAAUGCCAUAUAGAUAUACUCAGGAGUCAGACUAUGUGAGAUAAGUUUCAUAGUCAAAAGGGAAAGAGCCCAGACCGACAGCUAAGGUCCCAAAGUGUGUGUUAAGUGGAAAAGGAUGUUAGGUUUCUAAGACAACUAGGAUGUUGGCUCAGAAGCAGCCACUCAUUUAAAGAGUGCGUAACAGCUCACUAGUCGAGAGGUCUAGCGCCGAAAAUGUCCGGGGCUAAAACACACCACCGAAGCUACGGAAUUACCUAUGGUAAUUGGUAGAGGAGCAUUCUGUAAGGAUGAAGCACAAUUGAAAGAGAGUGUGGACGAAACAGAAGAGAGAAUGCCGGAAUGAGUAGCGAGAUAUAUGUGAGAAUCAUAUAGGUCGAAUGUCUAAGGUUUCCUGGGUAAAGCUGAUCUGCUCAGGGUAAGUCGGGACCUAAGGUGAGGGCGAGAGCCGUAAUCGAUGGACAACAGGUAGAAAUUCCUGUACUACGUAUAAUCAGAACUGUGGGGACGCAGGAGGAUAGGAAAACCGGAGAAUGGAAAAAUCCGGCUAAGUACAAAGGUGUGAGUGAUAGGCAAAUCCGUCACUAUUAGCUGAAGUACGAAUGGGAGCGAAGAAAAGUAGCGAAGUUUCUGAAUCCACACUGUCAAGAAAAGCCGCUAUUGCGUUAUACGUACCCGUACCGCAAACCGACACAGGUAGACGAGGAGAAAAUCCACAGACCGACGGGAGAAGUGUUGUUAAGGAACUCGGCAAAAUGACCCCGUAACUUAGGGAUAAGGGGAGCCAACGCAAGUUGGUCACAGAAAAGAGGCUCAAGCGACUGUUUAGCAAAAACAUAGGUCUAUGCGAAACCGUAAGGUGAUGUAUAUGGGCUGACACCUGCCCGGUGCUGGAAGGUCAAAAGGAGAGGUUAGCGCAAGCGAAGCCUUGAAUUCAAGCCCCAGUAAACGGCGGCCGUAACUAUAACGGUCCUAAGGUAGCGAAAUUCCUUGUCAGGUAAGUUCUGACCCGCACGAAAGGCGUAAUGAUUUGUGCACUGUCUCGACAACACGCCCGGUGAAAUUGAAGAACCAGUGAAGAUACUGGUUACCCGCAACAGGACGGAAAGACCCCAUGGAGCUUUACUGCAGCUUAAUAUUGGGAUUCGGUAUUGUAUGUACAGGAUAGGAGGGAGACUAAGAAGCUAGCACGCCAGUGUUGGUGGAGUCGAUGGUGGGAUACCUCUCUUAUAAUACUGAAUUUCUAACCUACUUCCGUGAUCCGGAAGAGGGACAUUGUUAGGCGGGCAGUUUGACUGGGGCGGUCGCCUCCGAAAGAGUAACGGAGGCGCUCAAAGGUCUUCUCAGAAUGAUUGGAAACCAUUCAAAGAGUGUAAAGGCAAAAGAAGGCUUGACUGCGAGAGUGACAACUCGAGCAGGUACGAAAGUAGGACUUAGUGAUCCGGUGGUAACAAGUGGGAGUGCCAUCGCUUAACGGAUAAAAGCUACCCUGGGGAUAACAGGCUUAUCUCCCCCAA
rnacentral:rRNA from 1 species